GGAAGUGGGGAUGACGUCAAGUCAGCAUGGCCUUUAUGUCCAGGGCUACACACGUGCUACAAUGGUUGGUACAAAGGGUUGCCAAGCCGUGAGGCGGAGCCAAUCUCAAAAAGCCAACCUCAGUUCGGAUUGCAGUCUGCAACUCGACUGCAUGAAGUUGGAAUUCGCUAGUAAUCGCUGAUCAGCAGGCAGCGGUGAAUACGUUCCCGGGCCUU
rnacentral:rRNA from 1 species